rnacentral:rRNA from 1 species
UACGAAGGGUGCAAACGUUGCUCGGAAUUAUUGGGCGUAAAGCGCACGUAGGCGGCUUAGCAAGUCGGAAGUGAAAUCCCACGGCUCAACCAUGGAAGUGCUUUCGAAACUGCUGAGCUUGAGUACGAAAAGAGGAUCGCGGAAUUCCCGGUGUAGAGGUGAAAUUCGUAGAUAUCGGGAGGAACACCAGUGGCGAAGGCGGCGAUCUGGGUCGAUACUGACGCUGAGGUGCGAAAGCGUGGGGAGCAAACAGG